rfam:[Clostridium] sordellii strain JGS6382 genome assembly, chromosome: 1
ACUAAUGGUAGAGGUUGCAUUAUUAAAUAGUACUAUUAUCGAGGUCAAAGCGCUUAUGACGUAAUAGGAAAGGUAAUAAUGCCGAAAUAUAUAAACUAUGCUUAAAGUUUAUAUGUUGGGGUUAUACAUAAUAUGUAUAACACUGUCACUUAUGUGAAGAGCUAUCUUUAGA